rnacentral:rRNA from 1 species
GACGAACCGUCCAAACGUUAUUCGGAAUUACUGGGCUUAAAGGGUGCGUAGGCGGCGCGGAAAGUUGGGUGUGAAAUCCCUCGGCUCAACCGAGGAACUGCGCCCAAUACUACCGUGCUCGAGGGAGAUAGAGGUGAGCGGAACUUAGGGUGGAGCGGUGAAAUGCGUUGAUAUCCUAAGGAACACCGGUGGCGAAAGCGGCUCACUGGAUCUCUUCUGACGCUGAGGCACGAAAGCUAGGGUAGCGAACGGGG